AGCAGUACUUUUCGGAGUAGCUGGCGACCGGCGCACGGGUGCGUAACGCGUAUGCAAUCUACCUACAGCAGAGGGAUAGCCCGUGGAAACAUGGAUUAAUACCUCAUAAUACAGGGGGCCCACCUGGGCAUAUUGUUAAAGAUUUAUCGGCUGUAGAUGAGCAUGCGUCCCAUUAGCUAGUUGGUACGGUAACGGCGUACCAAGGCGAUGAUGGGUAGGGGUUCUGAGAGGAUGAUCCCCCACACUGGUACUGAGAUACGGACCAGACUCCUACGGGAGGCAGCAGUAGGGAAUAUUGGUCAAUGGACGAGAGUCUGAACCAGCCAUGCCGCGUGCAGGAAGACGGCCUUCUGGGUUGUAAACUGCUUUUCUCAGGGAAGAAAAUGGUCUUGCGAGACAAAUUGCCGGUACCUGAGGAAUAAGCACCGGCUAACUCCGUGCCAGCAGCCGCGGUAAUACGGAGGGUGCGAGCGUUGUCCGGAUUUAUUGGGUUUAAAGGGUGCGUAGGCGGCCUAUUAAGUCAGUGGUGAAAGGUAUCAGCUUAACUGAUGAUGUGCCAUUGAAACUGACAGGCUCGAGUACAGACGAGGUAGGCGGAAUUUAUGGUGUAGCGGUGAAAUGCAUAGAUACCAUAAAGAACACCGAUAGCGAAGGCAGCUUACUAGGCUGAGACUGACGCUGAGGCACGAAAGCGUGGGGAGCGAACAGGAUUAGAUACCCUGGUAGUCCACGCUGUAAACGAUGAUUACUGGAUGUGUGCGAUAAACAGUACGCGUCUGAGCGAAAGCGUUAAGUAAUCCA
rnacentral:rRNA from 1 species